AACGAACACUGGCGGCAGGCUUAACACAUGCAAGUCGAACGGGUGUAGCAAUACAUCAGUGGCAGACGGGUGCGUAACACGUGGGAACCUCCCUUUGAGUCUGGAACAACAGUUGGAAACGACUGCUAAUACCGGAUAUACCCUACGGGGGAAAGAAUUUCGCUCAAAGAUGGGCCCGCGGCAGAUUAGCUAGUAGGUGGGGUAAUGGCCUACCAAGGCAACGAUCUGUAGCUGGUCUUAGAGGACGAUCAGCCACACUGGAACUGAGACACGGUCCAGACUCCUACGGGAGGCAGCAGUGGGGAAUCUUGGACAAUGGAGGAAACUCUGAUCCAGCCAUGCCGCGUGAGUGAUGAAGGCCUUCGGGUUGUAAAGCUCUUUGAGUGGGGAAAAUAAUGAUGGUACCCACAGAACAAGCCCCGGCUAACUCUGUGCCAGCAGCCGCAGUAA
rnacentral:rRNA from 1 species